CUUUUCCCAGAGCAACAAUACCAACCCAAAGAUCCGGGGAAAGCUAAAGAAACCCUUCAGCAACAGCCAGGGAAAGAAACUUCCGCCCCACCCCACCUCCAUUAGAUUUUCUCUGAGGACCCUUAAGUAGCAGAGCAUCCAGGGGCCAAAGGAGUCAGGGUAUGAGAGGCUUCCGACUUCUCUCGGGUUGUUCCCGGAUGUUGGAUGCGUGUUGGAGGGGCAGGAUGGCCCCCUUCCCAGGUGUGUGAUCCCGGCUGGGCAGGGCCCUCGCGCCCACCGGCCCUCACCAGUAAGUGAGGAUGAAGGAAAGGGGAACCAACCUCUACCCGUUAUUUUUGGUGAACGUGCGGAAAGGCAGCUCCCUCCCGGUGGAUGUAAGAGGAGGGGUCAUUAUUCACCAGUGUGGGGGAGGGGAGCCAGCCACUCACCAGGGUAAGAGGGACGGGAAAGAAGAGGGACAAGCCAGGGGUGUAAAGAGGACUAGGAGGGUGAGGCGGACUAGUUUCUGAACCCCUCCCCUCUCGCGGGCAAGAGGUGUGGGGAGCGCCUCCCUCCAACCUCUGACCAGACCCACAGAUUCCUCCAAAAACUCCGGGAACUUACACAGGAUCAUCGAUGUGAACAGAAGCAACUGUUUCCGCCCGACUUUCGCCUUUGUCCCCAGCAUGAUCAAGAUCCCAAUACGACAGCAGUCACCGGAGCCCGGGAACAGACACAGCUUCGCCCAACAGGAGCGCGGGGACUAAACUUCAGCGGCCAGGUUGAGCCCAGCCCAGCCCUUCCCUUCAUGCCCGAUUGGUCGGCGCCCUGCCUCUGCACAUUCCGAUUGGUGGAAGGAGCCGCCGCUCCACUGAGUGAUUCACCGUCGCCAGGUGCAACUCCGCCCACUACUCCCCGCUAAGGCUGACUGGCGCCUUUCCAAGACCAAGCCGCCUCUGAUUGGGCCAGGAGACUGCCGCGUAAGGAGACCCCAGAUCUCACCUUCUGCAGCAUUCAAGGCUGCGCUGAGAGGAGAAAAGGGAAAAGGAGCGCUCAAUUCAAUAGUGGGAAAAGAAGAAUCACGUUACCAAACAAAACCCAGGGCUUCCAUGGUGGCGCAGUGGUUGAGAAUCUGCCUGCCAAUGCAGGGGACACGGGUUCAAGCCCUGGUCUGGGAAGAUCCCACAUGCCGCGGAGCAACUAGGCCCGUGAGCCACAACUACUGAGCCUGCGUGUCCGGAGCUUGUGCUCCGCAACAAGAGAGGCCGCGACAGUGAGAGGCCGGCGCACCGCGAUGAAGAGUGGCCCCCUCUCGCCGCAACUAGAGAAAGCCCUCGCACAGAAACGAAGACCCAACACUGCCAAAAAUAAAAAUUAAUUAAUUAAUUAAUUAAAAAAAAAAAAUUUUCCCUUAGCCCUGACAUUUUUUUUUCUUU